GACAGGGGUGCCAAGCGUUAGGCGGAAUCACUGGGCUUAAAGCGUGUGUAGGCGGACUUGUAAGUGUCUUGUGAAAUCCCACGGCUUAACCGUGGAAUGGCUGGACAUACUGCAAGUCUUGAGCCGCUUAGGGGUCGGUGGAACAAAUGGUGGAGCGGUGAAAUGCGUAGAUAUCAUUUGGAACGCCAAUGGUGAAAACAGCCGACUGGGAGCGCGCUGACGCUGAGACACGAAAGCCAGGGGAGCGAACGGG
rnacentral:rRNA from 1 species